rfam:Asian citrus Psyllid, Diaphorina citri - Florida Strain, whole genome shotgun sequence.
GCCUCGGUGGUGUAGUGAUCAAGACACUCGCCUGAUAAACAAGAGGGCUUGGGUUCAAUCCCAGCCGAGGUA